AAAGCUCCAGGACAGGCAAAUAGGCCUCUGUCUCAGAAAGACUAGGUGUCUGCUCCAAUAUGUUAUCAACGCAGGGCCCUGGAGUUGGUAGGCUACCAAGAACGUUCGCGCUCAUGGCUGUGGUCUCGCGAGACCCAGGAACACACGCUCCCCUGCCCUCCCGAGCCGGGAGGUCACCGCGUAGCAGUAGCGGAACGCCGGCCAACGGACAUGUGUAAAAGCAGUGCUCUGGGAGAUGCACACGCUUUGGUAUGUGGUAGAGGAAACGUGUAUUUCUUUUUCUGUGAAAAAGAAAGAAAGAAAAAAACCCUAGCAUUAAAUUAGGGGGACAAAAAUGGCGCCUGUUAGCUGAAGUGAGGCCGAGAGAGGGAGAGCUGGAGAUGGUGGCUGCCAGCCAGCAGCCUCUGCGUGUGUCUAGAUUACAUGCCUGACCCUCAGGCUGCGACUUGAAGAUCAGUAAAUGGCGCCCAUAGGGCCACAAAGUUGGGAGCUUCUGGAUUGGCUGCUUCUGCGCUUGAACCCUGGGGCGGGUAAGAGGCUUUUCAUGGUACUUGACAUGCAGUCAUGGAUUGGCACAACAGAGCUAUUCCUUGAAGUAGGUGGCAAGCAUCCAGCUCUGGGCCACCACAGCAGCUCCACCCCCUGGUCCAGAUAGACCUUGUUCUGCUUCACUUAACUGUUUGGCAAGUGAGUUAUUCAGAAAAGGAAAGGAACAGGCAGAAGAGGAAGACCCCUUGCACCAUUUUAGGAUAUCUACUUUCUUUGCUUGGUUCAGUUGUCUACAGCUGCAAAUGUAAAGGAAAAAUCUAAAAUAUUUACACUGCAG